rnacentral:rRNA from 1 species
UACAGAGGUGGCAAGCGUUGUUCGGAAUUACUGGGCGUAAAGGGCGCGUAGGCGGUCUUCUAAGUCUUGUGUGAAAUCCCUCGGCUCAACUGAGGAACUGCACGGGAUACUGGAAGACUUGAGUUCGGGAGAGGGAAGCGGAAUUCCGGGUGUAGCGGUGAAAUGCGUAGAUAUCAGGAGGAACACCGGUGGUGUAGACGGCUUUCUGGACCGUAACUGACGCUGAGACACGAAAGCGUGGGUAGCAAACAGG